rnacentral:rRNA from 1 species
AUGAACGCUGGCGGCGUGCCUAAUACAUGCAAGUCGAGCGAACAGAUGAGGAGCUUGCUCCUCUGACGUUAGCGGCGGACGGGUGAGUAACACGUGGAUAACCUACCUAUAAGACUGGGAUAACUUCGGGAAACCGGAGCUAAUACCGGAUAAUAUAUUGAACCGCAUGGUUCAAUAGUGAAAGACGGUUUUGCUGUCACUUAUAGAUGGAUCCGCGCCGCAUUAGCUAGUUGGUAAGGUAACGGCUUACCAAGGCAACGAUGCGUAGCCGACCUGAGAGGGUGAUCGGCCACACUGGAACUGAGACACGUUCCAGACUCCUGCGGUAGGCAGCAGUAGGGAAUCUUCCGCAAUGGGCGAAAGCCUGACGGUGCAACGCCGCGUGAGUGAUGAAGGUCUUCGGAUCGUAAAACUCUGUUAUUAGGGAAGAUCAAAUGUGUAAGUAACUAUGCACGUCUUGACGGUACCUAAUCAGAAAGCCACGGCUAACUACGUG